UGGGGAAUUUUGGACAAUGGGCGAAAGCCUGAUCCAGCCACGCCGCGUGUGGGAAGAAGGUCUUCGGAUUGUAAAGCACUUUAAGGUGGGAGGAAGGGCAGUAAGCGAAUACCUUGCUGUUUUGACGUUACCGACAGAAUAAGCACCGGUUAACCCUGUGCCAGCAGCCGCGGUAAUACAGAGGGUGCAAGCGUUAAUCGGAAUUACUGGGCGUAAAGCGGGCGUAGGUGGUUCGUUAAGUUGAAUGUGAAAGCCCCGGGCUCAACCUGGGAAAGGCGUCCGAAACUGGCGGGCUAGAGUAGAGCAGGGGGUGGUGGAAUUUCCUGUGUAGCGGUGAAAUGCGUAGAUAUAGGGAGGAACACCCGUGGCGAAAGCGAGCACCUGGGCUCUUACUGACACUGAGGUGCGAAAGCGUGGGGAGCGAAAAGG
rnacentral:rRNA from 1 species